rnacentral:rRNA from 1 species
AUACGGGAGGCAGCAGUGGGGAAUUUUGGACAAUGGGCGAAAGCCUGAUCCAGCAAUGCCGCGUGCAGGAAGAAGGCCUUCGGGUUGUAAACUGCUUUUGUACGGAACGAAAAGGCCAGCCCUAAUACGGCAGGCCCAUGACGGUACCGUAAGAAUAAGCACCGGCUAACUACGUGCCAGCAGCCGCGGUAAUACGUAGGGUGCGAGCGUUAAUCGGAAUUACUGGGCGUAAAGCGUGCGCAGGCGGUGAUGUAAGACAGUUGUGAAAUCCCCGGGCUCAACCUGGGAAUUGCAUCUGUGACUGCAUCGCUAGAGUACGGUAGAGGGGGAUGGAAUUCCGCGUGUAGCAGUGAAAUGCGUAGAUAUGCGGAGGAACACCGAUGGCGAAGGCAAUCCCCUGGACCUGUACUGACGCUCAUGCACGAAAGCGUGGGGAGCAAACAGGAUUAGAUACCCUGGU